rnacentral:rRNA from 1 species
GACAGAGGCCCCAAGCGUUAGGCGGAAUCACUGGGCUUAAAGCGUGUGUAGGCGGACGCCUAAGUGUCUUGUGAAAUCCCACGGCUCACCCGUGGAACUGCUGGGCAUAUUGGGCGUCUUGGGCCAACUAGGGGCAGCCGGAACAAGCGGUGGAGCGGUGAAAUGCGUAGAUAUCGCUUGGAACGCCGAAGGUGAAAACAGGCUGCUGGGGUUGCGCCGACGCUGAGACACGAAAGCCAGGGGAGCAAACGGG